AAAAUCCCUGCCUAAAAGGAUGACUUUUUUACUACCUAAAAUUCCUUAUAUUCCUAAAUACUUUGCUGAGGUCAGCCACCACGAGGGAGACAGGCAGAACAGUAGAAAGGUGUAGGUUUGGGAGUCAGGCCACCUGGGACCAAAUCACAGCUGAGUUUGUAAAUUUGGAUGAGUUAUGAACUCUCUUAGGGCUUCGCUUUCCUCAUUUGUAAAAUGAAGAUAAUAAAAAUACCUAUUUCAGUGCAGUGUUGUUGUGAGGAUUAAGUGAGACAAUUUAUUGAACCUCCAGAAUAUAUUAGCUCUGAGUCUAUGAAGCUCUGGGCAACUGAGUACAUUGAAGCUAUUAUAGUUGAUGGAAAAGAAUUUUGGUGAGAGGAAGGAAAGGAAGAUUCUGCAAGAAGAACAGAACUGAAGAGAAUGCCAGGCCUGGUGCCUGGGCAGCCUAUCUCCAGGCUGAAGACAAAAGGCUUGGGAAAGGGGGAUUUGGACAGAAGAGUCUCAGGGAAGUAGAGGACACACACCUGCUCUGCCACCCUCAGCACAACACCUGGCAUGGUGCCAGGUCAUCAGGAAACCCACCUGCAGGGUGGUGCUUGCAGAGCCCUUCGUAUGGGCUUCCUGGUGCCAUCUUCCCCGGCAGCGAACCGUUCCCCACCCAAGAGCUAACCUGCCUCCGUUCCCCACCUCCAGCUCUGUCUGUCUCCACACCAAGACUCAACCAGAGCAAAAUGCUAAAAGGGCAAUUUCUGUGGCACUGUAAAAGUGAAAAGCACCAGAGUAAUUUACAAUGCCUCCAUUUUCCUCUGUGCCUUUUAAGAAAAGCAUCGUUUUAUUCCUUUGGGGUUCACAUUGUUAUUCCUUCAUUAUUCUCUGUUUGGAGUAGUAAAUGAACACAGAACUGCACGGCAGAGGAAAUAAACAAAUUGCAAAGUUCCUGGCCAUCGAAAAACUUGAAGUGUAGUAGCGUGAGUGGCAUAAAUAAUAAUUCAAUACAGAAUGGGGACAAGGCGAUGAGUGGCUUUUACCAACGAUGUCCUCUGUGGACCAUGUGGGGUUUCAGGAGCAGCAAAAUAUAGCGGAAGCAAGAAAACACAAAUUGGCAUAUGUUUUAAAUAAAAGGGAAAAAUGGGGCGGGGUGGGGGAGAAGUUACAACAUUAAGAUUUUACAAUAAAGAAGAUAGAGAACUGAGAAUUUUCUGGAUUGGAUAAAAGGACUCAAGGGAAAAAAUAAGAUAAAAUAUGGGGGCAAUAUAAUGGUAGCAGUUUUGGUUUUCAGACAAAGAAACAGGAUCUUCAUGUAAGUUCAGAGAUAUUGAGUGUUAGAUGGCAGUGUGGGAACAGGUUGUACAACCCAGCCAGAAAUAGCUGGCCCAGCGGGUAGAGCCUGGGCCUGGGAAGUGUAGCAGCACCAACGAUAACCAAACUCUACUCUUGGAAAGAGCUGCUUCUAUCCUGAGAGGAGAGACUGUGCCCUGGGGACAGGCAGGGCACCAGGGGUGACAGGAGCAGGAAGGGGCCUGGGGCUUCAGAGCUGAGUCUUGUGUUAAAAUAUUCCUGCCCCUGUGGUCUUCAUGAUUGGAGCACCUCCUUCUGCUUUCUCACACCCAGUCUAAGCUACAAGGCAGAGAAUGGACACGCUAACAAACUGCCACUUCGCUAUGGUUUUGCUGCCUUGCCUUUGAUAAUCUCUGUGUGUCAGAGUCCUUUUUGGAAGCAAUGCCUAUCCUCCUAUGUGAGUAAUGCAUGUAAAGCAGCCCAGCCCUAAAAUGGUGCUGGCCAGGGAGCUGAUGGCCAUCGACAGGAGACCUCUAUUACCAGUUAGGCCUUGGGGGCUUCAGGGAAUAUCCAGGCCUCUAAGCUAUAAAGAAAAACAGGACCUUGAAUGAAGCCAGAGGACUGCUUCUCUCUCUGUGAAGCGCCUCUUCCAUUUAAACAUCCAACACAUGAGAUUCAGGUAUGGGAAACCACAGAGGAAGAGCAGGUAAUAGGUAAAAUAAUAUUUAUUUCUUCUUCCAGUGCUUUCUGGCUUCAAAAUUUCUUCUAUUCAUAGGUAGAGUUGCAAUGAAGCUGGUAAAAAUGAGCCCCCAUGGGAAAAUCCAAUAGGAAGUAUUGCCAAGCUAUGCUUCAAAAUACUAUCUGUAAAAUUUCUCAAAACUCUAGAGUUUGAGACCAGGAGUUUGAGACCAGCUUGGACAACAUAGUGAGACCCUGUCAAAAGAAACAAGGAAGGAAGGAAGGAAGGAAGGAAGGAAGGAAAGAAAGAAAGAAAGAAAGAAAGAAAGAAAGAAAGAAAGAAAGAAAGAAAGAAAAAGAAAGAAAGAUAGAAAGAAAGAAGGAAGGAAGGAAGGAAAGAAAGAAAGAUAGAAAGAAAGAAGGAAGGAAGAAAGGAAAGAAAGAAAGAAAGAAAGAAAGAAAGAAAGAAAAAGAAAGAAAGAAAGAUGUAGCCAAGUGUGGUGGUGCACAUCUGUGUCUCAAAACAAAACAACAACAACAACAAAACCCCAAAAAACCAAUAGCCACUGCUUAGCUCUUCUAAGUCUAAGGACCUGCACUCCAGCUGGAAAUGGUUCUGGGCUGGGGAGGAACAGGGCAAAGGUCCAGAGAAACAGCCCCUCACACGGAAUCUCUUACUGGGUGAGGGGGGAAACCUGUCUCCCUCAGUCAGGGGGGAGUGUGGGUGGGCCCUUUCUCACUCUCCUGCCUCCACGGACUUGUGCCACUCCCGGGGAAUUGCCCUCGACUGGCCAUGGUCUGGAACAGCCUGGGAGCUUUUGGGCAGAACAGCUCAGAUGUAACCACCUGGCUGGGGGGGCACUUCUGCCUUUAGAGGGGUCUGUGUCCCUGGCCACUGCUCAAGCAAGGAGCUCUCUCAGGCUGCUGAAGGAGAGUCUAUGUUUCCUGCUGCAAGUCAGGGCUGCACCAACCCUGACAGAUGAGUCAAGUCUUAGAACAUAUGACAUUUAUAUUGAGAAACAAGAGAGACUGAUGUUUAAACUCUGGAAUGGACAAUAACACCCUGUGAAUAACCAUGGUCUUAGAGACUCCGGCUUGGUCAUGACAUUGAGAAAAGUCCUUUGCCAGCUCUUCUGGCAGCAUUGGCUCUGCCAGAUCUGCUUGAUCAUCCACAAGUUCAGCGGGAGAGGCCAGGACCAGAUCCAUCCACAAGUUCAAGGGGAGAGGCUAGGGGCCAGGGUCACCUCAAUUUUCACCCUGGGCCCGCAGCUCCAGGCCUCAGAAGCCAGCACGUCCUUUUCUACAGCUUGAGAAACUGGAUGUGACUGUCAACACUUGGACACCCAUGAGCCACCAACUAACAGGUUAAGAAGUUUUACCUAUUUCAUUUCAUUUAUUUAUUUAUUUAUUUUUAAUUGACAAAUUAUAAUUGUAUAUGUUAAUGAAAAUGUAAUGUUAUAAUAUAUGUAUACAGUGUAGAAUGAUUAAAUCAAGCUAAUUAACAUGUCCAUCACCUCAAAUACUUAUCAUUUUUUUUUUGUGGUGCAAACUUUGAAAUUUACUGUUUUAACUAUUUUGAAAUAUACAGUAUAUUAUUAACAAUAGUUGCCAUGCUGUGCAAUAUAUCUCAAAAAACUCAUUUCUUUUGUCUAGCUGAAACUUUGUACCAUUUGACCAACAACUCCCCAUCCCUCC
rnacentral:lncRNA from 1 species